UUUCUUCUCUUCCUCUUCUAGUCUACUGAGGAGUCUCUUAGAUCUGGUCUAUAUGAGAUUUAAUUGAAGGAAACCAGCCCAUCACGCACAAUGCAUAUAUCCCAUUGCUUAUUCUUCUUCUAACUAAGAUCUUAGUCUUUGAUUAGCGUUUAUGCAAGAUCUCAGAGUCUUUGAAGAACCCACGCAAAAACGGAGCAACCAUCGGCGUCGUUUUGAUGUUGAUCAGUUAAUCGAUUUGUUUUUUUUUCUUUGUAAAAAUCAGAUUUGUUAGCUAUUUUGUUCAAUUGAUAACUAUAUAAGCGUGGAGCUCUUUGUUUAGUUUA